rnacentral:rRNA from 1 species
AGAGUUUGAUCCUGGCUCAGGACGAACGCUGGCGGCGUGCUUAAAACAUGCAAGUCGAACGAGGUCCAUGGGUUCGCAAGAACCCGGAAGACCUAGUGGCGAACGGGUGCGUAACACGUGAGGAACCUGCCCCAGAGACCGGGAUAACCCCUCGAAAGAGGAGCUAAUACCGGAUGUGCUCAUCGGAUCACCUGGUCUGAUGAGGAAAUGGAUUCCGCUCUGGGAUGGCCUCGCGGCCUAUCAGCUUGUUGGUGGGGUAACGGCCUACCAAGGCGACGACGGGUAGCUGGUCUGAGAGGACGAUCAGCCACACUGGGACUGAGGCACGGCCCAGACUCCUACGGGAGGCAGCAGUUAGGAAUCUUGCGCAAUGGGCGAAAGCCUGACGCAGCAACGCCGCGUGAGGGAUGACGGCCUUCGGGUUGUAAACCUCUUUUGUCAGGGACGAUGAUGACGGUACCUGACGAAUAAGCCACGGCUAACUACGUGCCAGCAGCCGCGGUAAUACGUAGUGGCAAGCGUUGUCCGGAUUUACUGGGCGUAAAGAGCGCGCAGGCGGUCGAUCAGUCGCGUGUGAAGCCCCGGCUCAACUGGGGAGGGUCMCGCGAUACUGAUCGACUCGAGCAGGAGAGGGUAGUGCUUCCGGKGUACGGKGAAUGCUAAAAUCACGA